GGGAAUGCAUCGGAAUCUGCCUCGUUGUGGGGGAUAACGUAGGGAAACUUACGCUAAUACCGCAUACGACCUACGGGUGAAAGUGGGGGACCUUCGGGCCUCACGCGAUAAGAUGAGCCGAUGCCGGAUUAGCUAGUUGGCGGGGUAAAGGCCCACCAAGGCGACGAUCCGUAGCUGGUCUGAGAGGAUGAUCAGCCACACUGGAACUGAGACACGGUCCAGACUCCUACGGGAGGCAGCAGUGGGGAAUAUUGGACAAUGGGGGGCAACCCUGAUCCAGCCAUGCCGCGUGUGUGAAGAAGGCCUUCGGGUUGUAAAGCACUUUUGUUGGGGAAGAAACCGGCCGGGUUAAUACCCUGGUUGAAUGACGGUACCCAAAGAAUAAGCACCGGCUAACUUCGUG
rnacentral:rRNA from 1 species